GACGAACGCUGGCGGCGUGCCUAAUACAUGCAAGUCGAACGCUGAAGCAGGAGCUUGCUCUUCUGGACGAGUUGCGAACGGGUGAGUAACGCGUAGGUAACCUGCCCGGUAGCGGGGGAUAACUAUUGGAAACGAUAGCUAAUACCGCAUAACAGUUGAUGCUGCACGACAUUUGCUUGAAAGGUGCAAUUGUUCCACAACUAGAUGGACCUGCGGUGCAUUAGGUAGUUGGUGGGGUAACGGCUCACCAAGGCGACGAUCCAGCGUCGACCUGAGAGGGGGGUCGGCCACACUGGGACGGAGACACGGCCCAGACUCCUUCGGGAGGCAGCAGGAGGGAAACUUCGGCAAUGGGCGGAAGUCUGAGCGAGCAACGCCGCGGGAGGGAAGAAGGUUGUCGGGUCGUAAAGAUCGGUUGUAAGGGAAGAAAGAGUGUGAGAGUGGAAAGUUCACACUGUGACGGUAACUGACCAGAAAGCGACGGCUAACUACGUG
rnacentral:rRNA from 1 species